rnacentral:rRNA from 1 species
UACAGAGGGUGCGAGCGUAAUCGGAAUUACUGGGCGUAAAGCGCACGUAGUCGGCUUUGCAAGUCGGGUGUGAAAUCCCCGGGCUCAACCUGGGAACUGCAUCCGAGACUGCAUUGCUAGAGUAUGGGAGAGGGAAGCGGAAUUUCUGGUGUAGCAGUGAAAUGCGUAGAUAUCAGAAGGAACAUCAGUGGCGAAGGCGGCUUCCUGGACCAAUACUGACGCUGGAGGCACGAAAAGCGUGGGGAGCAAACAGGG